GAUGAAGAACGCAGCGAAAUGCGAUAAGUAAUGUGAAUUGCAGAAUUCAGUGAAUCAUCGAAUCUUUGAACGCACAUUGCGCCCGCCAGUAUUCUGGCGGGCAUGCCUGUCCGAGCGUCAUUUCAACCAUCAAGCCCCAGGCUUGUGUUGGGGACCUGCGGCUGCCGCAGGCCCUGAAAACCAGUGGCGGGCUCGCUGUCACACCGGGCGUAGUAGAUUUUAUCUCGCUCAGGGCGUGCUGCGGGUUCCGGCCGUUAAAAAGCCUUUUUUACCCAAGGUUGACCUCGGAUCAGGUAGGAAGAACCGCUGAACUUAAGCAUAUCAAUAAGCGGAGGA
rnacentral:misc_RNA from 1 species